UAUUUGAGAGGCAUCUCUUGAAUAUCAAAGGUGAGCCAGUACAGGAUGGACCCGCGUCUGAUUAGCUAGUUGGUAAGGUAACGGCUUACCAAGGCGACGAUCAGUAGCCGACCUGAGAGGGGGAUCGGCCACAUUGGAACUGAGACACGGUCCAAACUCCUACGGGAGGCAGCAGUGGGGAAUAUUGCACAAUGGGCGAAAGCCUGAUGCAGCAACGCCGCGUGAGUGAUGAAGGCCUUCGGGUCGUAAAACUCUGUCCUCAAGGAAGAUAAUGACGGUACUUGAGGAGGAAGCCC
rnacentral:rRNA from 1 species